ACACAUUCCCUAGUUUUUCUUUUUCUUGAAUGCAUUGAAGAACAUUCUCUUUGUUUAAAUCCUCUUCAACUUGUUCCGCAGCGCAACCCUAAGCAUUGGGAUUAGGGAUUUUAACUAGUAAUUAUUGCAGAAUUAAGGAGCUACGUCAAUCCUAAUGUGUCUGCAAUCUGCUACACCUCAUUUUGAUUGAUUCAUCAUCAACUUAAUCUUUGAAUUCGAUCACAGAUUAAGUUUCGUUUCUUCGAGUUGGAGGAAUCUGCAAUCUGUUUUCCCUCGCUCUCCUCCCAUCCAUUCAAUUAGAGAUCUAAAUUUCGUCACUGCGGCAUCAUUCCCUCCGUAAGAAAACUCGCAAUUCUUGACUGCUAGAGAGAAGCUGUUGAAGUUCGUAGAGAAAGCUAUCAAAUCCAAGUGAUAAAUUGCGCCAUCAAAUAAAAAUCUUGUCAUCUUAUAUACAACUCAAGCCUAAAGCUCUCAAAAAACAGAGGCUUCAAAACAUUCAACUGGCCCCAUUCACAAAAUCCUAGCUGAAGACGACUAAUAACUAUACAGAUACAUAUACAAAAAGCUAUACACUCAACGUACACCAAAAUUCACAGUUAUGUUACAUGAAACUGUUGGAGCUGCUGCCUCAUCUCUGCAAGAUGAGUUGAAUAUACAGGUUCCGUUCGGUUCUUCAACAGAUGAUGGUGAUUUUUUUGUUUCCUCACGGUACACGUUGACACACCUCAUGCAAACAAACUUAGAAGGCAUGCCAUCAGAAUUAUCAAUUCCAGCGCAUCUGGUAUGCUGCCAAACGCCACAGGUAUCACAUGCUAACAUUUUCUCUCCGUCAUCAUCCUUGGCCCCACAAGUGCAAUCAACCUUCCACACCUCAGUUCCUCGUUCCAUUCGGAAUCUGCUUAGCCCAUGUUUUGCUGGGCAUUUACCUUGAAUGCGGACUGAUCCACUUGUUCCAAGCAAGAACUUCACGGUGAGGGAGUCACUGAUUGACCCAUAUCCUAGGAGUUCUUCAGCUUGAAACCUCUUAUACAUUGCAUACACCUCUUGGAAAGCACUAGUGGCUUCGCUCUUGAGCUCAGCAACGGUAGCAUUCAAAGGCAACACUAUAAGCUCUGGCGGUGGGGAUGGAUCGUCCUUAGGCUGAUCAGAAAGUUCGACAUGACACCACAACCUGAUAACAGAAGGCAGUUCGAUGGCCAUUUCAUAUGGCUUGUAAUCUUUCAUAAACUGUUUACAGUCAAGGAGCUUCCUGGCUGAAUCAGCAACCCUUUUCCUCAUAAUCCUAGGUCUGUAUGACAUCAUUUUGUCAGGAUGUAUUAUCGAGUCGAAUAAAAAUGUCAAGUCAGAGAUCAGUUGCCUUUCAGUAGGAUAGCUUGAAUAUGUAUUUAGACCAUUACUCAUCGGCCCCAACCUGUUAUUGAGAAUAUAUUCAACACAUGCUUUAGUUACAUUAAUUAAGAUGUAAUUGACAAAAGCAAUGCCUUCUUCAAUCUCACCUGAACUCGAUUGCACAGGAAACGGGAUUACAUCGUGAACAAACUACCAUCCCAUUGGCUGCUAAUUUCCCAGGGAAGUGCUUAAGACAGUAGUCAAGAAGCUGUGGAGAUGAAACACCCCUGCAUACUGCACCCUUCAGAGCACGACUUGUCACCCAUUUAGACUCGUUACACGCACCUGAUGCAAUCAAUACCUUGACAAGAGCACAUUGCACCUCUUCAACAUCUUUUCCCGUCCACGUACACAACAAAUUACUGGUCUGCUUAAAAGUUUUCAUGGCUAUUGGCUUACGGCAUUCACGAAUCAACAUCAACAAAAAAGAGAAGAGAUCUUGAAUGUUUAGAAGUUCUGUUUCUGCCAAAGACUGGUAAAGAGAAAUAAUACACUCCAGGCGGCUUCGUGGUCCCCGUCCAUGAAAUGAAAAUGAUGACAAGGGCAUACUUGACAGGGUAUUCACUGCGUUUUUGUAGGCAUCUUGGGUGAGAGCAUAGCUGCCUGUUCCAAAUUCAUAAGCCCAAUUACCAUACCAGGAAUGUCCUUUCGUGAUCGCAUGAAGCAAUCGGUAUUCCAGCCCGAAUUUCUUGGACAAGUCCAUCACGCUAACCUUCCUGCUCAAGUAUACAACACAAUUAUCAAAUUUUAAAAAUGGGGUCGUGCCCAUCCUGAAGCCAAAUGUGAGAAAAAAGUUAUUCAAACCUCACAGAAAUUGAAGUACAUAGCCUGUCCCAGAAAUCCAUAAUAUCAGAUCCAGAUAGAAGCUUAGAGCCACCUUCUCUUCCACUUAGAGUAAGCAGGUGACCAUAACCAUUGGAAUGGACCACACCAUGAAGAAGAUGGGUGUUAUCUUCAAUCUGAUUAUACACCCAGUCCUCAAGGUCAUCCACGGUGAUGGCAAAGUUACACGAUUUACAGCUGCAGCCAUGUGGAAGACUAGAUAAUUGGAGAAGGUUUCCACAUCUUGAACAAGGUCUUUGAUACGGUUCGAUUGCAUUACUUGCAGCCCUUAUUAUGAAAUGAUAUCGCUUUCGACAAACCGGAUGCCCACUCCACCCUUUGUUUUUUUCAACAAAAAGUCAGCAUUAGAGCACAACCAUACAUCCUCCAUAGGCCCCAUAUGAAAAUAUAUAUCAAUAAUAUCUGUUUUCCCACUAACAAUAUUGUUAUUAAUUAUUACAUUAUUAAUACUACAUUAUUAUAAAUUAUAAAUAUACAUACAUAAAAAAAAAUUGGCAAAAUAUAUUACUGUAUUCGACAUACAAAGAAACGGGGAAAAAAAUACUGUAAAGUUUAUUGUUUAAUUUUCAGCCAAGUUCUGGGAGGGAAGAAAAAAUCAGGUAGAGUUGGAGACUCUACAUACUAACUUAUGGAACAAGUUGUAAACACAGUUAAAAAAUAGAAUUAAAAUUAACUGCCUGUUUAAUUUGAUUUUAAGCUAAUGAGAAAUGCAUGGGUCUAGAGUCAGUGAGUCACAAACUCGGCGAGUGGGCUCACC